CCAAAAAAAACAGUUUCGCUAUUUUACCAUCCGGAUUUGUGUCGUAAGGUAAGAAAAGACACAUUCUAAAGUGCCUUAACCGUAAAAUGCGGCGGCUGUAUCUGGUAACCACCAGCGUUGUUUCGAGCGAUCCCCUCUGCCCUGUGUAGCCUGAGCUACAUGAAGUCCACUUGGGAGAAUACACGGGAGGCCAACGGUAAACUGACAAUGGGAUAUUAAAGUACUUUACACAGGCUUGCUUUGCUGUGUGUCGUUCGACAGUCUCCCAGCUCAGAUGCCAUUCGCUGAUGUUCCGGCUGGCACAGAAACCCACUGCUGGUUUGCACACCAUGGAGGACCAGAGGAAGUCUGCCCAGGCAGGCUCCACACAUGCUUUGAUGCUGCUCUUCUAUGAAAAGGCAGUCUGAGUCUGACGGUUUGGGCCACAGACUAAUCUAAUGUGGUUGCUGGCAAUGGUGACAUCAGCAAUGAAAUGAGAGACCAAAGCAAGUGUGCUGAAAGCUGGAGCAGCAAGCUGGGAGGCCUCUGGAGGGCCUGGGACAACUGACUUAGUCACGGAGCAGAAGAGAACAGUGCUGUGACCACCACCACCAC